AUCUGAAUCUGGGCUAUUUUCGUUUCAGCAUGCAAUUCAAUUCAUUAACACACUGGUAAUGUUUCUCAUCAGGCCAGUAAGACACCAGUUAAAAUACACCUUUGUUUUUCGUUGACGCCGGCCUGGCACCAGUUCAAAGAGUCGUCACAUUUUAUGAUUCGCUUUCAUUUUUUUUCAUUUGCCGAUUUUCGGCUUGAUGGUUACAUACACGAAACAUCCUGCUUGCUAAAAGAAGAACAUCUCAGAUACGGAGACUCAAAAAGUGAAAUAGAACAAUAGAAGGACUUGUGAACGACAAAAAGCGAGCAAACAAUAAAGGGCUGAUUGAUGACUAAAAGAAUAGAAAAGCGUGAGAAAUAUAACAUGUAUAUAUA